UUGUUUUGAAAUUUGAAGAUAACUCCUCUACUCGGAUUAAGACUUUGUAAACUUAUAUAUACAGGUUGUUUGUUUUGAAAAUUGGACA